GACUGCUCCGGUGGCCUAGUUGUUAGUGUGUCUGCCGCUGAUGUGGGAGGUCUCGGGUUCGGACCCCGACCGAGUCA